rnacentral:tRNA from 1 species
AAAUCCGUCGACUUUA